CUGUGAACUGACCUCCUCUCCUUUAUUCACAUUGUCAUCACUGUCAGCACUCAGUUCCUCAGUGAUCGUGCCGACCACUUUCGCAGGUUUUCUUGGCCGGUAGGUAGAGCAAACACGCCUGGUGGCGGAGAGGUGGCUAGUGAUGCGUUCGAAGUUCGAAGGAACGACUCUGCAACGCGAACAAACUGACCUGAUUCCCCGUUUGUCUUCUCUCUUGUUCGUUUGUUCGUUCGUUCUCUGAUUCCUCCCCUGGCGUUCUCAGUCAGUCAGUCACUCGUUCUUGACUAGCAGGCUUUAGCUGUUAACAGUUGUGUUGUCUAAAAGUACACAUAAUCCUGAAGUUGCAGCUGCGUAUUGGCCUUGAACUACAGCGUUAUGUUGACCGUUGGCACGAUCGUUUGAGAACGAGGAGCUGAGAACUCUGCAUUACAUGAUUCACCGCUGAACGACGUUGUACCCGGAAGCGCGAACGAACCAACGACGUGAACGAUUCUUCCUGCCGAACUGAUCGGCGGGAGCUGAAUCUUGACAUCGAAGGAUGAAAACCACCUCUAGAGUCCGCCUGUCCGCUCUAUCUCACAAGCCUAGAGACACUCCAGCAGGGGAAGAGUGUUCACACAAGAGAAGCAGACGACACCAGAUCUACCUGAUUGACUCAUCUGCCUGCCUACCUGCCUGCCUGCUCGUCCGCCAGCCAUCUUUUCGAUCCUCCGGCUCUGCAAAGCUCUGCCGUCUCGUCUUCGUUCCCAGCACCGGCAGCAUUCCUUCCCGUGUGCACAGCAGUGAUGCCGGCCAGAGGAUAUGGACUACAUAAUUAAAGCCAUAAUGAACCGUUAUGUCUUUUUUAUUUAUUUUUUUAAUUUUACAUUACUUUUUAUCUAAUCACUUAGUCUAUAA